rnacentral:lncRNA from 1 species
CCCAAAUGAUAUAAAAUUGACCCAAACCAUGACUGCAACGGUAAAUUGGUCCUGGCGUAUCAACUUAUGCAUCAUCACAAUAGUAACACAGAAAUGAAGACCAUACGCCCUAUGCACGCCAACUUCACAUACACAUCCACUCAAUAUGCUAGAGGUAGAGGUUUCAGACUUGAAGGCCUCAUGGAACACUGCAAAGAGAAUACACAUCCACUCAAUAUGCUAGAGGUAGAGAUUUCACAGACUUGAAGACCUCAUGGAACACUGCAAAGAGAAAUGGGCUACGGAUGAAACCUAUCAAUUUUGUUAAGUUUGAUAUUGGCAUCUGGUAAUCUCCUUCCAAGACUCCACACUAGUUCAAUUAGUUGGUGAUCGUGAUCAU